rnacentral:lncRNA from 1 species
GUCAUAUUACUGAUGAUGGUCAUGUUGAUCACUCUGUCUCAAAAAAUAAAAUAAAACAAAUAAAUAAUACCUACUUCACAGGAUCCUGUGGGGAUUGACCAGAGUAAUAAUGUAUGUAAAACACUUAGCAAAUGUUAGUUCCCUCUAGGUCCUAGGGAAACCUGCAGACUCAUAGAGGGGAAUUGAUUUGUCUAAAAUCAUGCAAUGAAUAAGCUAAAGGUUCAGACUGGUCUCCAGAUGCUUACCCCUGGCAUGGAGUCUUUCAGCAACACUGCUUUGCAUCCAGGGUGUACCUUCUCAGAAACUCUGUGAUGCUAUGCCUGCCUGGGGAGUGGCUCACCAGUCAAAGAAUCAGCCUAACAGGGAAAUCAGACGUCCCUUGAGUGCCUUUAUUACCAGGAACUCAGCACAUUUUUGUCCUAACUGUCCUCAAACUCAAUGAAGAAAUGUCAC